CCAGACUCCUACGGGAGGCAGCAGUGGGGAAUAUUGCACAAUGGGGGAAACCCUGAUGCAGCGACGCCGCGUGAGCGAUGAAGUAUUUCGGUAUGUAAAGCUCUAUCAGCAGGGAAGAAGAUGACGGUACCUGACUAAGAAGCCCCGGCUAACUACGUGCCAGCAGCCGCGGUAAUACGUAGGGGGCAAGCGUUAUCCGGAUUUACUGGGUGUAAAGGGAGCGUAGACGGCGGCGCAAGCCAGAUGUGAAAGCCCGGGGCUCAACUCCGGGACUGCAUUUGGAACUGUGCGGCUAGAGUACUGGAGGGGCAGGCGGAAUUCCUAGUGUAGCGGUGAAAUGCGUAGAUAUUAGGAGGAACACCAGUGGCGAAGGCGGCCUGCUGGACAGUAACUGACGUUGAGGCUCGAAAGCGUGGGGAGCAAACAGGAUUAGAUACCCCGGUAAUA
rnacentral:rRNA from 1 species